rnacentral:ncRNA from 1 species
UUUGGUCCUGACCUUGAAGUCAAUUUUUACUUAAGAUACACAUGCAAGUAUCCGCUCCCCUGUGAGAACGCCCUUCAACCCCCCUUUAGGAAUAAGGAGCCGGUAUCAGGCGCAAUAUAUGCCCAAAACACCUAGCUUUGCCACACCCACAAGGGACUUCAGCAGUGAUUAACAUUGAAUAUUAGCGCAAGCUUGACUCAGUUAAAGUAAACAGAGCCGGCCAAUCUGGUGCCAGCCGCCGCGGUUACACCAUGUGGCUCAAAUUGACUCCUUCCGGCGUAAAGCGUGAUUAAAGUUAUCUUCUAAUAGAGUUAAAUUUAAACUAAGCUGUAACACGCUUGUUUUUAAGAAAUACACUAACGAAAGUUACUCUAAUCUAACCAACUUGAAUUCACGACAGCUGGAAAACAAACUGGGAUUAGAUACCCCACUAUGCCCAGCCGUAAACUUUUAUUUACACCUCAAUCGCCAGGGAACUACGAGCUAAGCUUAAAACCCAAAGGACUUGACGGUACCCCAUAUCCCCCUAGAGGAGCCUGUCCUACAAUCGAUAAUCCACGUUUAACCUCACCAUUUUUUGUUAAUCAGCCUGUAUACCUCCGUCGUCAGCUUACCACGUGAGCGCUUUUAAGUGAGCUUAAUGUUUUUCACCAGCACGUCAGGUCAAGGUGCAGUAAAUGAAAUGGGAAGAGAUGGGCUACACUUUCUAUUAUAGAAAAUACGAAAAACUACCUAUGAAACCUAGUUGGAAGGCGGAUUUAGCAGUAAAAAGGAAUCAGAAUAUUCAUUUUAAUUUGGCACUGGGGUGUGUACACACCGCCCGUCACCCUCUUCACAAUUUUAUACUAGUAUUAAACAAACUAAAAUAUUACAGAAGAGGCAAGUCGUAACAUGGUAAGUAUACCGGAAGGUGUGCUUGGAAA